AGGACGAACGCUGGCGGCGUGCUUAACACAUGCAAGUCGAGCGGAAAGGCCCUUCGGGGUACUCGAGCGGCGAACGGGUGAGUAACACGUGAGCAACCUGCCCUUAGCUUCGGGAUAGCUCCGGGAAACCGGAAUUAAUACCGGAUAUGACUAUGGCCGACAUCAGCCAUGGUGGAAAGUUUUUCGGCUAGGGAUGGACUCGCGGCCUAUCAGCUAGUUGGUGAGGUAACGGCUCACCAAGGCGACGACGGGUAGCCGGCCUGAGAGGGCGACCGGCCACACUGGGACUGAGACACGGCCCAGACUCCUACGGGAGGCAGCAGUGGGGAAUAUUGCGCAAUGGGCGAAAGCCUGACGCAGCGACGCCGCGUGGGGGAUGAAUGCCUUCGGUUGUAAACCCCUUUCAGCAGGACGAAGCGAAAGUGACGGUACCUGCAGAAGAAGCGCCGGCUAACUACGCGCCAGCAGCCGC
rnacentral:rRNA from 1 species